rnacentral:rRNA from 1 species
AUUGAACGCUGGCGGCAUGCCUAACACAUGCAAGUCGAACGAGACCUUCGGGUCUAGUGGCGCACGGGUGCGUAACGCGUGGGAAUCUGCCCUUCGGUUGGGAAUAACUGAGAGAAAUUUCAGCUAAUACCUUAUAAUGUCUUCGGACCAAAGAUUUAUCGCCGAGGGAUGAGCCCGCGUAGGAUUAGGUAGUUGGUGGGGUAAUGGCCUACCAAGCCGACGAUCCUUAGCUGGUCUGAGAGGAUGAUCAGCCACACUGGGACUGAGACACGGCCCAGACUCCUACGGGAGGCAGCAGUGGGGAAUAUUGGACAAUGGGCGAAAGCCUGAUCCAGCAAUGCCGCGUGAGUGAUGAAGGCCUUAGGGUUGUAAAGCUCUUUUACCCGGGAUGAUAAUGACAGUACCGGGAGAAUAAGCUCCGGCUAACUCCGUGCCAGCCGCCGCGGUAA